CCCAGACAGCCAGGAUGUUGGCUUAGAAGCAGCCAUCAUUUAAAGAAAGCGUAAUAGCUCACUGGUCGAGUCGGCCUGCGCGGAAGAUGUAACGGGGCUAAACCAUGCACCGAAGCUGCGGCAGCGAACGUAUCACUUAAAGCGAUUCAGCGGGUUACGAUUGACGGAGCGAAGCGACGUCAAAGCGUAUACAAAGUCGAGUCGGUUUAAGGAUACGUUCGUUGGGUAGGGGAGCGUUCUGUAAGCCCGUGAAGGUGGCCUGUGAGGGUUGCUGGAGGUAUCAGAAGUGCGAAUGCUGACAUAAGUAACGAUAAAGCGGGUGAAAAGCCCGCUCGCCGGAAGACCAAGGGUUCCUGUCCAACGUUAAUCGGGGCAGGGUGAGUCGACCCCUAAGGCGAGGCCGAAAGGCGUAGUCGAUGGGAAACGGGUUAAUAUUCCCGUACUUGGUGUUACUGCGAAGGGGGGACGGAGAAGGCUAUGUUGGCCGGGCGACGGUUGUCCCGGUUUAAGCGUGUAGGUGUGUGUUCCAGGUAAAUCCGGUUCACUUUAACACUGAGGCGUGACGACGAGGCACUACGGUGCUGAAGCAACAAAUGCCCUGCUUCCAGGAAAAGCCUCUAAGCAUCAGGUAACACGAAAUCGUACCCCAAACCGACACAGGUGGUCAGGUAGAGAAUACCAAGGCGCUUGAGAGAACUCGGGUGAAGGAACUAGGCAAAAUGGUGCCGUAACUUCGGGAGAAGGCACGCUGACACGUAGGUGAAGUGAUUUACUCAUGGAGCUGAAGUCAGUCGAAGAUACCAGCUGGCUGCAACUGUUUAUUAAAAACACAGCACUGUGCAAACACGAAAGUGGACGUAUACGGUGUGACGCCUGCCCGGUGCCGGAAGGUUAAUUGAUGGGGUCAGCGUAAGCGAAGCUCCUGAUCGAAGCCCCGGUAAACGGCGGCCGUAACUAUAACGGUCCUAAGGUAGCGAAAUUCCUUGUCGGGUAAGUUCCGACCUGCACGAAUGGCGUAAUGAUGGCCAGGCUGUCUCCACCCGAGACUCAGUGAAAUUGAACUC
rnacentral:rRNA from 1 species